rnacentral:rRNA from 1 species
AUGGAAGUGGCAUUAGCUAGUGCUGCCUUAAGCGUAAGCUUAAAAUUGGCUGCAUCGCCGGCCUUAAGGAAGCUCCUUUCUAAUGCUUCAACGUACCUUGGAGUCGAUAUGGCGCGUGAGCUCCAUGAACUGGAGACCACUAUCUUGCCGCAAUUCGAACUGUUGAUUGAAGCAGCAGAUAAGGGAAACCACAGGCUCAAGUUGGACAAAUGGCUUCAGGAACUCAAAGAAGGCUUCUACCUAGCUGAAGACUUGCUGGACGAGCAUGAGUAUAACCUCCUCAAGCGCCAAGCAAAGGGGAAGGAUUACUUGCUGGCAAAUUCCUCCUCCAUCAGCAACACUUUGAUGAAGCCUCUGCGUGCUGCAUCAAGCAGGCUGUCCAAUCUGAGCUCUGAUAACAGAAAGCUAAUUCAACAUCUGAAUGAACUGAAGACCACCCUGGCGAAAGCGAAGGACUUCCGUCAACUGCUCUGCGUACCAGCUGGUUAUAAUGUAGCAAGCCCCACCAAAACAUCAGUUGUUGUUCCUGAGACCACAUCACUUCCACCUUUAAAAGUAAUUGGUCGUGAUAAUGAUCGCGAUUGUAUAAUAAAUCUUCUUACCAAGACAACUACUAUUACUACUGAGUCUAGUGUUGCUAUGUACUCGGGUUUGGCCAUUGUUGGAGCUGGAGGCAUGGGAAAGUCCACCUUGGCACAGCUUGUUUACAAUGACAAGAGGGUAAAAGAAUAUUUUGAUGUGACAAUGUGGGUAAGCAUCUCACGCAAAACUUGA